rnacentral:tRNA from 1 species
GGUGAGAUGGCCGAGUGGCUUAAGGCGCAUGCCUGGAAAGUAUGUAUAUGGUAACAUAUCAGGGGUUCGAAUCCCCUUCUCACCU